UACAGAGGGGGCAAGCGUUAUUCGGAAUUAUUGGGCGUAAAGGGCGCGUAGGCGGCUUGGCAAGUGGAAGGUGAAAUCCCUCGGCUUAACCGAGGAACUGCCUUCCAGACUGCUUUGCUUGAGGCCGGGAGAGGCGAGUGGAAUUCCCAGUGUAGCGGUGAAAUGCGUAGAUAUUGGGAGGAACACCAGUGGCGAAGGCGGCUCGCUGGACCGGUUCUGACGCUGAGGCGCGAAGGCCAGGGGAGCAAACGGG
rnacentral:rRNA from 1 species